AACGAACGCUGGCGGCAUGCCUAACACAUGCAAGUCGAACGAGACCUUCGGGUCUAGUGGCGCACGGGUGCGUAACGCGUGGGAACCUGCCUUUAGGUUCGGAAUAACUCAGAGAAAUUUGAGCUAAUACCGGAUGAUGUCUUCGGACCAAAGAUUUAUCGCCUUUAGAUGGGCCCGCGUUGGAUUAGCUAGUUGGUGGGGUAAAGGCCUACCAAGGCGACGAUCCAUAGCUGGUCUGAGAGGAUGAUCAGCCACACUGGGACUGAGACACGGCCCAGACUCCUGCGGGAGGCAGCAGUGGGGAAUAUUGGAAAAUGGGCGAAAGCCUGAUCCAGCAAUGCCGCGUGAGUGAUGAAGGCCUUAGGGUUGUAAAGCUCUUUUACCCGAGAUGAUAAUGACAGUAUCGGGAGAAUAAGCUCCGGCUAACUCCGUG
rnacentral:rRNA from 1 species